CCUACGGGAGGCAGCAGUGAGGAAUAUUGGUCAAUGGACGAGAGUCUGAACCAGCAAAGUAGCGUGAAGGAUGACUGCCCUAUGGGUUGUAAACUUCUUUUAUAUGGGAAUAAAAUGUUCCACGUGUGGGAUUUUGUAUGUAACAUAUGAAUAAGGAUCGGCUAACUCCGUGCCAGCAGCCGCGGUAAUACGGAGGAUCCGAGCGUUAUCCGGAUUUAUUGGGUUUAAAGGGAGCGUAGGUGGAUUGUUAAGUCAGUUGUGAAAGUUUGCGGCUCAACCGUAAAAUUGCAGUUGAUACUGGCAGUCUUGAGUACAGUAGAGGUGAGCGGAAUUCGUGGUGUAGCGGUGAAAUGCUUAGAUAUCACGAAGAACUCCGAUUGCGAAGGCAGUUCACUGGACUGCAACUGACACUGAGGCUCGAAAGUGUGGGUAUCAAACAGGAUUAGAUACCCCUGUAGUC
rnacentral:rRNA from 1 species